rnacentral:miRNA from 1 species
UGAGCAAAUCCAGGCCUCGUGUAUCUGCAGCAAUGAAACAAGGGAGCUUUCUGCCUGAUCUUCUCCCCAAAGGCAGUCUCUCUUUUUAAAUGCCUGCACACAUGUUAUUUAUUUAUUUUUGGUUAACGUUUAAAUUGAGGUUUUGGCUGAAACUCAGCCUGCGCGCACUUGAAAAGCCAACAGGCUCAUUGGGCAGCCGAUAAAGCUCUCGGGAUUUCCCCGCGGGGCUGCGGAGAGUACAGACAGGAAGCCUGGGGACCCAGCGCCUGACCAGAACUUCCUCGGGGGAGGCUGCAGGGGAGCAGGCGCAUCCUGCACAGAACGCUCUAGAGCGCGCAGGCCAAAGCACCAGGCUGCUCCUGACACGUGCUGCAA